rnacentral:rRNA from 1 species
GUGGGGAAUAUUGCACAAUGGGCGAAAGCCUGAUGCAGCGACGCCGCGUGAGCGAUGAAGUAUUUCGGUACGUAAAGCUCUAUCAGCAGGGAAGAUAAUGACGGUACCUGACUAAGAAGCACCGGCUAAAUACGUGCCAGCAGCCGCGGUAAUACGUAUGGUGCAAGCGUUAUCCGGAUUUACUGGGUGUAAAGGGAGCGUAGGCGGCGUGGUAAGUCAGAAGUGAAAGCCCGGGGCUCAACCCCGGGACUGCUUUUGAAACUAUCAUGCUAGAGUGUCGGAGAGGUAAGUGGAAUUCCUAGUGUAGCGGUGAAAUGCGUAGAUAUUAGGAGGAACACCAGUGGCGAAGGCGGCUCACUGGCUCGAUACUGACGCUGAGGUGCGAAAGCGUGGGGAGCAAACAGGAUUAGAAACCCUGGUAGUCC